GCAUCGGUGAAGAACGCAGCGAAACGCGAUAGGUAAUGUGAAUUGCAGAAUUCCGUGAAUCAUCGAAUCUUUGAACGCACCUUGCGCUCCAUGGCAUUCCGUGGAGCAUGCCUGUUUGAGUGCCGCGAAAUCUCCCACCCCUAGCGGUUGCCGCAAGGCGCCGCCGGGCGGCGGGGUUGGUUGGGUGCCGCUGCCUGGGCUUUGGCCCAGGCUCGCCCGAAAUGCAUGAGCGCUUAGCACUCGCACCGUCUCGAGGGAAGGCGGCGGAGCUGGCAUCUGCGCAUGGCAUGAUACGUCAUUUGCUGUGUGGCAGCCCAGCGACCCGAGAGUGUGUGUGCGCUACUACACGCCCUUUCAUUUCUGGUCUCAAAUCAGGUAGGAUCACCCGCUGAACUUAAGCAUAUCAAUAAGCGGAGGA
rnacentral:rRNA from 1 species